rnacentral:rRNA from 1 species
CCUACGGGGGGCAGCAGUGGGGAAUAUUGGACAAUGGGGGGAACCCUGAUCCAGCCAUGCCGCGUGUGUGAAGAAGGCCCUCGGGUUGUAAAGCACUUUCAGUGAGGAAGAACGCCUGGUGGUUAAUACCCAUCAGGAAAGACAUCACUCACAGAAGAAGCACCGGCUAACUCCGUGCCAGCAGCCGCGGUAAUACGGAGGGUGCGAGCGUUAAUCGGAAUUACUGGGCGUAAAGCGCGCGUAGGUGGCUUGAUAAGCCGGUUGUGAAAGCCCCGGGCUCAACCUGGGAACGGCAUCCGGAACUGUCAAGCUAGAGUGCAGGAGAGGAAGGUAGAAUUCCCGGUGUAGCGGUGAAAUGCGUAGAGAUCGGGAGGAAUACCAGUGGCGAAGGCGGCCCUCUGGACUGACACUGACACUGAGGUGCGAAAGCGUGGGUAGCAAACAGGAUUAGAUACCCGAGUAGUC